rnacentral:rRNA from 1 species
UAGGGAAUCUUCGGCAAUGGACGAAAGUCUGACCGAGCAACGCCGCGUGAGUGAAGAAGGUUUUCGGAUCGUAAAACUCUGUUGUCAGAGAAGAACAAGGACGUUAGUAACUGAACGUCCCCUGACGGUAUCUAACCAGAAAGCCACGGCUAACUACGUGCCAGCAGCCGCGGUAAUACGUAGGUGGCAAGCGUUGUCCGGAUUUAUUGGGCGUAAAGCGAGCGCAGGCGGUUUCUUAAGUCUGAUGUGAAAGCCCCCGGCUCAACCGGGGAUGGUCAUUGGAAACUGGUAGACUUGAGUGCAGAAGAGGAGAGUGGAAUUCCGUGUGUGGCGGUGAAAUGCGUAGAUAUAUGGAGGAACACCAGUGGCGAAGGCGGCUCUCUGGUCUGUAACUGACGCUGAGGCUAGAAAGCGUGGGGAGCAAACAGG